UGGGGUGAGAAAGUGUGUGUGUGCGUGUGUGCGUGGGGGGUGUCUGGCUUGGGAGCAGCAGCGGCCGAGCGGCUCGGAGUGUUCGGGGAUCGAGGGGGCAGAAAGUGGAGCUCUGGCGCCGCCCAGUGGCCGCCCUGGGGAAAAGCGGCGGCGCCCGGGCUGAUGCUGCUGCCCCUCCGACGAGGAGGGAAACACCGAGGCUGCGGACUACAACUCCCAUGAACCCCCACGCACCCUAUAUUGGUUAGAAAUGUGUUUUAGAGUCCAAGGCAUCAGGCGAGGCGUCCAGACCGGGAUGGUUCCGGCGUGCCAAGCCCACCGAGACGCCCCCCCCGUCGACUCCCGCCCGAUGGAAGCCANNNNNNNNNNNNNNNNNNNNNNNNNNNNNNNNNNNNNNNNNNNNNNNNNNNNNNNNNNNNNNNNNNNNNNNNNNNNNNNNNNNNNNNNNNNNNNNNNNNNNNNNNNNNNNACGGGCCCUCCCCCCUCCCCACUGGGGAAAGAGACGGGGGGGGGAGAGGAGGCGCCCCUGGCCUUCCUUCGACGGGGUGGCAGCAGCCUUUCGAAGCCUUUCCGUGCCUGAAGGGGAACUAGGCGGGGAGGGGCGUCCUGAGGGAGGCCUUCGGGGAAACAGCCCUGCAGGGUAGGCCACCGCCGGGCGCCGGGAGCUGCUGCGCGUGCGCACACCCAUUUCUUUCUUUUUCUCUCUGCCCAAGGGGGGGAGGGAGACGUACAGCAGUUCCUCCUGCCGGCAGGGGGCGCCCGUGGCUUGCACAUCGCCCCUCAGGCGCCUUUCCUCCCUCGUAGGUGCGGCGGUUGUUGCUGCUUGGCGCAUGCGCUGCGCGCGCUGCCUGUGGCGGGAGAGAACCGCCAGGCGCCAUUUUGUUCUCGACGCUUCGCGCAGGGAAAGGAGAAGCCGGUUCGCCGCCGCCGCCAUGGCCGGAAACCCUACCGGGCAGCGGGGGCUCUCUCGCGGGCGGCGCUCAAGGUCGAAGAAGCUGCUUUCUCCUGUGGAGAGCGGCGAGGAGGAGGACGAGGCGACUCUGGUUCUCAUUCCUCAACAGUGGAAGAUUACCUGGCCGAAGGCUGAGAAGAGCAAGGUAUGUUCCUGCUGGGGAGGGAGAUGCGGACUGGAUGAGCCAUGCCCAGCUCCUGCCAUGGGACAACUCCAUGGCCCGCUAGCUAGGCUAGGUUACCGUGUCUCAUACUGUGGGUGCCAUGGCCUUGUGGCCACAGGCUUGCCUUAGCUGUCUUGCAGGGGGCUCGGGCAGAGGGCGUGAUGGCUUGCCUUCCCAAGAGGGAGCAGCGGCAUCGUUGGGUUCUCUUUCUGUCACUGAGGAAGCCAGAGUCCCUGGCAGCGACAACUGUACAGGGGGAAGGAGUUGCAGUUUUGUCCCCUAGAGGUACAGCCGCCCACUUGGACCUGAGAAACCCCAAACACCGUCUCUCUUCUCAGGACUGCUGGUGGUGGCAGGGCUUGUUGAUUUCUGCCUUGAAAAGAAGGUGAGAGAAAGUUCUCCCUCGUGUUGGUUUCAUUUGAGUUCAUGGUUUCUGUGGGUUGUUUGGGUGUUGAAAUCCAACAGGCAUCAAAGUAUGUCUGAAAUGAGCAGAUGGAGUGAGGUGGUGGCCGGGUAGCGGGCAUAACAGUCCAAUUGGCACUGCUGCUGCUUGGGGGGGGGGGGGGNUUUUCUUGGAUGACGAGGUCCUGUUCGUGAAUGCAUUUGAGGCAUUUUCUGGCUCUUCCAUCUUUUUAGAUUUUCAGGAGUACCGAGAGAAAGGCAGUGACCGGAUGGCUGGAGGAGGUUCUGGCGGCAAAGCCUGGGUCUUUGCUCUGGGUCUUGCAGGCAUUUUCCUUCGGCUGGACCUCAUUACUCAUGGCCAGCCUGCUUUUCCCAGAUAAGCCUUUACUGUCAUGGGAAAUGGUUUGUCCAUGACAUUCCCUGUGAAAAACGCCCAUUGCGGCAUCAGUGGCGUCAAACUGCCAAGGGGCCGGCGUGGAUGCAGUUCCUCCCAGCCUGAUUGAAAGGGAAGAAAAGCCCGCAGAAGGUCUCUGUGGAGACGGGAGAGGAACAAGCACAGAGGGCAGGGGGAGCCUGGGAAAGGCCCGACAUCUCGCCCUGCACACACACACCCCGAAUCGGGUUGGGACGGGGUCUGACCUGGGUGGGGGCCACGGAGGGGGGCUUCUUUGAAGCCACCCUGCCGUCGGUUUCCUGAGCGAUGCCUUCGGUGUGAGUCUGAGAGGGUUUGUGCGCGCCCAUCCUGGGUCUUCUCCCCGUUCCCCCUUGGGGCUGGCCUCUUUUCUGCCCCCUCUUCCCCUUCCCCCACCGUUCCAUGGGGCUUUGAGCCAGAUGGGAACCCCGCUGGGGCCACCGCCCUUGCCCAGGUAUUAGCCAGCCAACCAGCAUGUGUGGAGCAUCCCCUUCCCUGGGGGGGGGGGAAGAAGACAGAGCGGACACCUUCUUGACAGAGAGCGGAAGACGUGAAAGCGCUCCCUGUGAGGGAGGCAUGGGGAAGGGCCAGAAAGCCUGGUCAGCAAACAACAGCCCCGCCCCCGAGCCCUCGCCCGCCCUCGCCAGCGGGUCGCCCGCCCAGCCCCUGGGGAGAAGGACCUGGGCUCUUUGGAGUCAAACCGCUUCCCUUUUCAGGGACUUUGGUGGUUUCUGAAACCACCAAAGGCCCUUUUUUAAAAACAUGCAGAGAUCCUGCUAGGUGGCUUUUGAGUGUGGAACCCACUCCUGACUGGCCCAGGGGAGUGCUGGCUUGGGCGGAUCCUUCCCGUCUCGUGCUGGACAGAAGCCCCUUUGGCGGCCGCCCGAUGGCUAGGAGCGCCUUUCCUCGAGAGCUGGGCCAGGCAGCGCUUGCCCCUUCCUGCCGCCGCCUCCCGGUGUGCUUAGCAAAACAAGCUUUGUUCCUGGAAAUGUCUCCUUCCCUCGUGUCCACGUUUCCAGGCUGUUCUCUGGUGGCUCCGUCCCAAGCUUGUCAUGUUUUCGUGCCAUAGAACCAGAGCAACAACAAAACGAGACACCUUGUGAACAAGCCCAUGGCGGAGAGAAUGAGACAGGCAGAGGCCGUGAGGCUGGUGGUCUCCCUGCCUUGGUCAGCAGCGGCUCCUGGCAAAGCCCCUUCCUCCAGAGACAUGUGGAAGUCUUGGAGGGAGGUCAGGAGGAAAAAGAAAGGGGGGGGGUUCAUCUGCUUUUUUCAUGGGCAAAUUGAUAGAAUUUGUUGAAUAAAAUGGGGACGCUGGAGGAUGUAGGCGGGAAA
ensembl:lncRNA